GUCUGCUGGCUCAGUCGACAGGCAGCUGCGGGAGGGGGAGGGUGUGUGUCUCUGUUUCUCCUGACUCUGCCUGAUUUAACCCGUUACUGACCUUCGCGUUUGAAAAUUCGCAUACGUAACUAUGUAUCAGUUGAAGUGACUGUAGGGCGUGUGUGCCGAGGAUUUUUGGAGCGAAGUGCAAGGCGGAAGACAGUUUAUUGGCCAGUCUGUGUGUCUAUUUGCUUCUGUUCUUGGAUUCGCCUCCCACGCACAGCUGACCUGACCUCUGACCUCCCCCAGGCGUCGCCAUGAACGGGGAAGCGGUGCCCAGUUUUUCCUCCCCUGAGCAGGAGGCGGAGUACUGGAGGAAGAAGGCCACGGAGUACAAACAAAGCCUGGAGGAAACCCGUGAGGAGCUGGAGGAGUUUCAGAGUGGCAGCAGGGAACUGGAGGCGGAGCUGGAGGCACAGUUGGAGCAGACAGAAAGAAGGUGUUCGGAGUACCAGGCGCAGCUGAAUCGAGUAGCUGUAGAAAAUGAUUCCCUUAAGGAGCGUCUGGAGAGGCUACAAAAUGAGUUCAAUGGGCAAGUCAACACACUGCAGUCCGAGCUGGUGGACCUUAAGAGCAUCCAGGAGGACCUCACCCGCUACAUCAGGGAGCUGGAGCAGUCUAAUGAUGACCUGGAGCGAGCUAAAAGAGCUACAGUGACAUCCUUAGAGGACUUUGAGGCCAGACUGAACCUGGCCAUCGAGCGCAAUGCCUUCCUAGAGUCUGAACUGGACGAGAAGGAGGACCUCAAGGUGACGGUGCAGAGGCUGAAGGAUGAGGCCAGAGACCUGCGUCAGGAACUCAGCAUCAAGGACUGCCCCGAGCCUGACAAUGACAAGGCCCUCAUGAACCACCACAACCACCAGUCCACUUCACCCCAGAAGCUGCACAUCAAAACCCCUCCUAAGCUUGAUGUGGCACUCCCUGCAUCUCCAGCAGGAGGAGCAGGCAUGGACUCCAAUAAGCUGGUUUCCAAUGGUACCCAGCUGACAGAUACAGUCCCUGCCACCCCUGUUGUCAUAUCCUCGACCUUGCACAACAACAACAACAGCAAUAACAUGAGUAAUGGCAGUGUACCCAUGACUCCCUCAGCAAGAAUAUCCGCACUCAAUAUCGUGGGGGAUCUCCUAAGAAAAGUUGGGGCCCUGGAGUCCCGGCUUGCCUCCUGCCGCACCUUGGUGAAGGACAACCAGCGCCCCCUCGGCCUGCCAGCGCCAGGCAACCACUCCACCAGAUAAAAAUUCAGCAGAUAAACCGAGACUUGAAUAGGGUGAACUCAGUAUUCAGAGCAGACAGAAACAGCUGACAUGCACCCCCUCCCCCACCUCCCCCACCAGCAGCCACCACCCCCACCAUCACCAUCCUCGCACCACCGU
rnacentral:misc_RNA from 1 species